AGUCUCUCCUUUACAGGCCCUCAUUGGAAUAUCACGUCCUGUGCUUCAUUUCCAACCCGUUUCAUACUACAUCACCACCUUACCAUAUUAGCCUUUCCCACACCUUUAUAAUCUAAGGACGUCUUCCCUAACAGAUAUGUUCCACCACCUCCUUUUCUUGCUCUCCGGUUUGUUUGCAUUGUCCUUGUCCAUCCCUGUGCCUAAAGGCUUUGCCAGUCACUCAGACAACAUUGAGUUUUACGAUGACCUGGAGAACUCACGGUUCCUGUUGGGUUCCGAGCUCGGACCCAACAUCGCCCCACGGGUGGAGCUGCCCCCCGAAGACACACCUUGGACCGAGGACCCAGGAUUCAUCCCUCUUCCUAUUAAGGAGAACUUCCUCAAGCACUGAAGCUGUGCACUAAAACUGUGGUCUGUGGUCAGAAACCACAUCGAAACGUUUCAAACAAUUCUUAUCUGAGAGUAAUCCUUUGGAGAAAGAUGUGAAGAUUUAUUUCAAUGUGACAAUGAAUGAAGAAUGAAGAAAUGUGCAUAGACCUUACUCUAUGACUAAGAAGCUAAGAAAAUCUGACAAGUUUUAAAAUGUAACAUUGCACUUUUAUUUUAUGCUGUGAAUUGUACAGUAUAUUUUCAUUCUGUUAAUACAAAGACAAUAUACAAACACAUAUAGAAACAAGACUUAUGUCCAGUCAAUGAGACAAGCAAAACAGUGAAUGGGAUGCACAAUAUCAAAUUGUCGUUAUUUCAGUGUGCAGCGGGAUGAAUGACUCAAACCAGUUGCUAUUGGAAGAAUUCAUAUAUUUUUAAACCUUUAUUCGAUAACACUUCAGAAUAACCAAUGUUAACAAUGAAUUUAUAAUAUUGUAGUUAAUAAUGAACUAAUCAUGAACCAAAUAAUUAAGAAAUGCUAUAUAAACUAUUAAAUAAAACAUUGGUUUAUAUAAUUUAAGAAUGAUUAGUACACCAUUUGAAAACAAUUUGUUGCUAAAUUAUGAAUUGCUUCUAAGCCAUUCAGCG